GACGAACGCUGGCGGCGUGCUUAACACAUGCAAGUCGAGCGGAAAGGCCCUUCGGGGUCCUCGAGCGGCGAACGGGUGAGUAACACGUGGGUAACCUGCCCCAGACUUUGGGAUAACCCUCGGAAACGGGGGCUAAUACCGGAUACGACACAGCUUCGCAUGGGGUCUGUGUGGAAAGUUUUUCGGUUUGGGAUGGGCUCGCGGCCUAUCAGCUUGUUGGUGGGGUGAUGGCCUACCAAGGCGACGACGGGUAGCCGGCCUGAGAGGGCGACCGGCCACACUGGGACUGAGACACGGCCCAGACUCCUACGGGAGGCAGCAGUGGGGAAUAUUGCACAAUGGGCGGAAGCCUGAUGCAGCGACGCCGCGUGAGGGAUGACGGCCUUCGGGUUGUAAACCUCUUUCAGCAGGGACGAAGCGUAAGUGACGGUACCUGCAGAAGAAGCGCCGGCCAAUUACGUG
rnacentral:rRNA from 1 species